AUGCAGAUGAGCAUUUACUCACAGGAGAUUCCUAGAAGCAGCUAUCCAGCAAGAAGGAUGCACAUCAUUCUUGAGGACCUCCUAAAAAUGAGGAACAAAGAACCAGGAAAAGAAAACAAUCCAGAAAAAAGUGAGCAUGAACCAGAACAGUAAUGGAGAAAGACUGAAGAGGGGAAAAAAGUAGAAAAUCUAAGAAAGCCAAAAAGAAAAAGAAGCCUGAAGGUAAACAUCAAAUGUACUAUGAGUAAGCAAAGGUUCCAGCAUCAUCAGCAAUUUUUCCUGAUUCUUUUUUGAGUGUUUCUCAUGUCUUCCCAUGCAUUAGGUGGGAAGGUUGGUGGCCCUGCAUGUGGCAGGGGGGUUGGAGAUUCAUGAUCCUUGGGGUCCCUUCCAACCCUGGCGAUUCUGUGAUUCAUUGUUUCUAACUUAACUAUAGAAGUGAUCUGCCCUGGGGAUGGUGUCAUUAGGAUGAAGUGAGGAUAGGAAAGAUACUGGUGAUCUGUGUUAGGAUAGAGAUCGGGUCCACAUCAUUAGAAUCACAUCUGCUCCCUGUUCUUGAUGAUGUUAUGGCAAUUUUAUUC
rnacentral:lncRNA from 1 species